GACGAACGCUGGCGGCGUGCUUAACACAUGCAAGUCGAACGGAAAGGCCCUGCUUUUGUGGGGUGCUCGAGUGGCGAACGGGUGAGUAACACGUGAGUAACCUGCCCUUGACUUUGGGAUAACUUCAGGAAAAUGGGGCUAAUACCGGAUAGGAGCUCCUGCUGCAUGGUGGGGGUUGGAAAGUUUCGGCGGUUGGGGAUGGACUCGCGGCUUAUCAGCUUGUUGGUGGGGUAGUGGCUUACCAAGGCUUUGACGGGUAGCCGGCCUGAGAGGGUGACCGGCCACAUUGGGACUGAGAUACGGCGCAGACUCCUACGGGAGGCAGCAGUGGGGAAUAUUGCACAAUGGGCGGAAGCCUGAUGCAGCAACGCCGCGUGCGGGAUGACGGCCUUCGGGUUGUAAACCGCUUUCUCCUGUGACGAAGCGUGAGUGACGGUAAUGGGUAAAGAAGCACCGGCUAACUACGUG
rnacentral:rRNA from 1 species